AGAUCCUUGUUUUCUAUCAAGUAACCUAAAAAAUGACUGAGUGCACCUUUAAAAAUACUAACUGAAAUAAACCAAGAUAACCCAGCAGUCCAUAAUGUGUGCACUAUGUCACUAAAGUUAUUGUCACUGCAAAUGUAAAAGUAGACAUAAAUGAACCAAAGAGGAAGUGACAUGACUUUGAGGACAGAUGUGAUCAGGUGGAAAGUGCAGGAAGCUGACUGAUGUCCAUCUGUGGCUGCAUUAAAUGUUGGCCUGUCCUGUAUCAGCCAUUCAGGAUUUUCUUUGAUGAACAUUUAGCUCUUAUGGCAUGAACUUGCUCAGUGCAUUAUUGUUGGCUUUUCUACAGUCUGAUAUUUGUUUACUAAUUGAUCGAUACAGUGCAUUAAAUAAGUGCAUAAAUAAGAUGUUAAAAACCUCAUCAUCAUAUCAAACAUGAUAGAUUUGUUUGGCACAUGCUGACUGCUUUCUAAUUAGAACAGAACAGGAGGCGAGAGCAGAGAACAAGAGUGCAGCCGUUUGGUGGAAGGUGAAGAAGAGGUGAGCAUCCAAAAGACGAGCAAGAGGACAGUUUCAUAGGAGACAUCACGGCACAAUAAAAGCUAGAAACUCACCUGAUGUAGUGGUAAGGCCAUGUUCACCACUAGAUGGAGACAACCUGGCACAGAGAAAGACUGGACUCAAAAAAUGAUCUUUAUUUUUACAUUUGUGGAAAUGGAGACCCGCCACACGAACACACAAGCUCAGCUCUGAAUUCUUUGCCAGCUGCAUAUAUAUUUCUGCACUGCGUCACACCGACACACAGUUUACUUUUUGUCUGGUUUCCUGUAUUUUAUACGCCUGUGCAGCUCUGCACUAAACCUUCCUGUUCUCUGCAGCAGCAUGCAGUUUCCUGUCAGUACUCUGUGACAUUGUGCUCAAACUGGUGUUCUCCCAGUCUGGCCUCAUUAAAACAAAAUAAACAGAAAAUAAGCAUUAAGAAUAUAUAUUUAUUUCCUAACAAUACACAUGGAAACUUCACACAGACAAACACACACACAAAACAACAAAAUGCUCGUCUCAUUUUGAGAAUUUCACCACUUUUACUUUUCAUGGAAAAUAACUUGUUACAUGACAUCAUUUAAAAUAAGUUUGUCAGUGAGUGGCUGCCACAUAAGUAUAAAUCUAAAUCACACAUGUGGGUAGGGCUGCACAGUCAGUAAAAGUCUCCAAGGCUCUGCAGAGCUCCAAACCUCCUCUGCCACAAACAGAAGCAUCAAAAAUGUGCGCUGGGAGCUUCAUGGAAGGAUUUCUACAGCCAAGCAAAUCUAUAUGUGUGUGGCCAAGAAGCUCAGUCCAUGUAGGGUAUCUCAGCACAGUUUGUGUCAGUCAGGUCAGCUAGUGGGAGGGCAGAGAGGGCAGCCUUUACAGUAUUUUAUUGUAGAGUGACAGGAACUGCCUAUGAGCUUCUAAUCAGGCAGAAGUGUUGACAGAAAACAUAUCAAAGGAAAUACAUUGAUCAAAAGAAGAUAAAUAUUUAUGUGGUGUUCUAUUUUCCUGAGAGCUGAUUGGCUGUGAUGACUCCUUCAAGUACUACAUGAAACUUUGUCCUGCUAGUUAAGCCUGCUGUC